rnacentral:tmRNA from 1 species
GGGGACGUUUUGGAUUUGACGGGCGGAUUGGUAUAGACAGGCUGCGUGUCCCGGUGCUGUUCCGGGUUAUAAACAAGCAAACUAAAAUAAACGACAAUAACGUCAUUAAAGCUGAUUUCUCAAGAGCAGCUGCUCUUGCUGCGUAAGCGCAGUUCAGCCGUUAUAUUAGACCAGCUUGCCGUUUAAUAUAGCGCCAACAUGCAAGCUGCAGCUCCGUGAUGGAGUUAGCGGAGUCAAGUUAUAAUUCCACACUGCGUAUCAGUCAAAACUGCUUUGAUUAAAUUAUAGGAUUGGUUCGUGCCGUAAUUUAAUUGAGAUUAACAGACCUACACAUGUAGAUGCAGGUUUAUAUCCCGUUCCGGACGAGAGUUCGAAUCUCUCCGUCUCCAU